GUGCUUAAUCUCUAUUUAAUUAAUAUAUAAGUUGAGACAAUAUACAAAAAAAAAUGCAAUGUACAUACUUUAAUAGUACACGAUACAAUAGAAAUUGAGAUAAAUAUAUCAUGAAUAUACAAUAGAAAUUGUGUCUAUCCUAGUUGCACUCAGGCUUUAGCUAAUCUUCCACAAACUCUAGAGUUUCCUUGUAGUUGGAGAACUGGUACAAUAUCAAGCUCGUGUUGAGCUUUUCUGCUUGUAUAUGGCACAUUAUGUGCACUAAUUACUUGGUAUUGGAUAUAAAGUCCUGACCUAUUUAAUCUCAUGCUUCAUGUGUUACCUAAAAUUNNNNNNNNNNNNNNNNNNNNNNNNNNNNNNNNNNNNNNNNNNNNNNNNNNNNNNUUGCUCACCUAAAAUCACUCUUUAAGGUCGCAGUCCCGUUGUCGAGAUGAACUAAAUAAUAAAUUUCAAGCUUGAUAUUGAAAGCUACUCCCAUAUUUCCCUUCAGCGUGUAUACACUUUAACCAAUAGAUCUUGAAAGACAUCAACAACUGUUGAACCUCGCAAUACAACAUUGUGAAAUCAAAGAGUACACACAUUAAAUUAUGGAGACUUUAAGUAACUAAAAAAUCUAAUAUGCCUCUUUGGAAUAUUGGCAGGAUCUUCCUUUAUAACCUUCGCCUAUGAAAUAAUCAUCUAUUUUGUACCCCCCCAUUGCAUUGCAUUACACUGUCCACUAUACCAUAUUUAAAAAAAUAGAAUUUAAAAUAUUUGAUCGGAUACAUCAAAUAUGGAAGUCUCCACUUUGAAUUUGGUGCCUCUGGCAGCUUGAACUUGAAGGUGUGCCAUGUGUUACCUGCAAUGAUGUGUCCAUUUACAAACAUAGUUAGCCACAACUCUCAACCUCACCAUUGAAAGUUAAAAUGUUUAUUAAAGUUAAAAGUUAAAAUGUUUAAUCAAGAAACAUACAUACAUGCUUAUUAUAGUUGCAGCCACAUGAUUAUGUGGUUAAAAAUUAUGCAGGCUGGAUCUUGGAGUUAUAACAGAACUGAAAAGUGGUUCCAAGUGCUCUUUAAUUUGUAAAAACAUUUUCAAAGUUAAUUCAAGAAUAUUACUUUCAUCAAAGAGAAUGAAACAAUGGUAACACUUUCUCAGCCCUGUCAUAAACAAUCCAGUUUAGAAUACAAUCUAAAAGGCUCAUUGACAUUAUGUAAGUGCUCACAUCCAAAUCCAUCAAAUUUCAUUCAAGCACUUUCCACAUUUUCAUUUACUGUUGCCCAAUUUAUGAUCUUUUUUUUCAUAUCAGAAAACUGAUAAUUGAAUGCCCAAUAAUUUCAAGAAACUAAAAAUUAGGUAAAUAAUCUUUUUACUUGAUAAUAGAUUAGGGAAAUCUCCGAAUAAUGUAGAGAAGUUCAAAAAACCAUUCCAGGAUCAACAAAAAUGAACUUAGAAAAGAGGACUCGCCCAUUUAAGAACCACCAAAAUCAUUACCAAAUCCUCAUUUACAAAUUAAGACAUCGGCAACUGCAACAUACAGAGCAACAUAGCAUCAAUGAGAUUGGUAGCAGAAUCAAAUCAAACAAAUAAAGAACCAUAGAAAGCUUAAUAAUCACUAUAUAAGCACUUUGGCUUUUAUGUUCCAACACUAUUUACUUGAUUGCUUGCAAAGUGAAGUCUUUCUUUUAAGUGAGGCCUUAAAUAUUCAAAGUGAAAAAAUCAUUCAUAAAUUUAUAAGAAAGCGAAAGUUAUAGAAAUAUUCAUAAACUAAAAAAUAAUAUAAGAAUUAGUUUUUGCAUCAAUCAACAUUUCAUAUAAUAUAUAUGCAUAAAUUGUGAUCCAAUGAAUCACCAAUAAAAAUCACAAUGCAACUUCGUAAAAGUAAUCAACAGUUACAACAUAACUACAUGUCUUUUCUCAAUGCAUAUUUAUCUCAUGAAUGACCAUUAACUUAAACAGAAUAAAAAAUCACAACUUUGAUUUAUAGUUAAAUAGUUAAAUUCAUAUGAAUGAAAGAUCUAUAUAAUUGAUGUACGAUAAGAAACUAAUAGAAGUUGGAAUCAGCAUGUUUCUUUCAAUGUGGUCAUGUUAUAAGUAGGUAAUUACCUUGAUUAAAAACUAUACCAUAAACAGAUUAGUGGAAAGUACACACACUUCUUUGAUAUAACUUUUUUAAGCUUGUGUAUUAAAAUAAUGAACAAAGUGAAAGCAUUAGACACUUCCAUCUGCACAUGAAUUAGAAGCAUUUCAGAGGCAAAGGUUUCAAAAUAAAUAAGGAACCAUAAAUAUAUUAUAAGCAUAAGUCUAUAACCUUACUUUUGAGAAGCAUGCAAUUCCUCAAAAUUAGGACCUCGAGCAAAUUUCUACCAAUGCAGCUGCCAAGUUUCCUGAGAGAAGAAUUCAACUAACAAAUUUAGGACCAGUAUAAGAAAGAAACACACUACUAUAAGAACUCAGCAGACCACCUCUAAAAGAAGCUUCAUGUAAAUAACAAAUCAAAAUAAGAAAAACAUAUAGUAGUUAUCAAACUCUAAUUCUAAAACAAAAAAGUAAAGCCAAAGAAAUACAAAAUUAGGGAUUAGAAAUACAAAUGAAAUAAAAUAGAUGGCUAUUAAAAAUUAGGUAUUUUGAAAAAGAAAGAGUAUACCCAGAAUCAAACAAUAACAUUGUCGUCGUUGGGCCGUGUGCUCUGCUUCAUCGAUCUUUGUCGUCGUUGGGUUUGUGAACCUGAACAAACAAUAACAUUCCCAAAAAAAAAAUUAAAAAUCAGAAUAUGAAAUUAAAUCAUGAAAUAAGGAAGGGAUUGAGAAGCAAGUUAAAACCUUUCUUAUUGACAAAGCUGAAGAAGCAUAUACCCAAAAUUUGAGGAAAAAAGUUGACAACAUAGAAAACCAUAUCAAAAACACGACAAAGAUAAACGUUGUUUUUGAAAAAUUUUGGAGGGGUUUUUGAAAUUUGAAAGCAUGAUGCAUUAGUCAAAGUUUGCAGAGAACACUUAGUUUUUCACCAAAAUGGAAGUUUUUGUUGAAGAUGGAGAGAAAGAAGACAUCAACAAAGCAGAAAGGGAAGAGAAAGAUUCUUUCCUUUUUCUUUUUUUAAAUUUUUUUUCUUUCUUUUUUCUGUUAUAUUGAAUUUUAAAAUUUGCAAAAUACAUUCAAUCAAACUAACUUAUUACUUAUAAAAAAGUUUAUAGAUAUAGAUUGAAUCUGAAAUAAAAAUUUUGAAAUAAAAAAUCUUAUUAAAAGUAAUAGUAUAUCGGUUUGGUUUUCUCCUCAAUUAAAGUUUACAAAUACUAAAUAAAACAAAUUAAAAUUGAUAUAAAUCUAAAAAAAAAAAUCUGAAAUUUAACAAAAUCAAUCAUAUUAUUGCGGUGGAGAAAAAAAUCCCACUAAAAACUCCUAAAAAGUAGGGAUUAUUAGCUAAAAGAUAAAAACAAAUCCUAAUAAAUAUGACAACUAAACAACAAUAUUUUUUAAAAAAUAGAAAGAGGCAAAUAGAAAAAUAUGCUAAUCUAAAUUGAUAAGGAAAAACUUUUCACGN
rnacentral:lncRNA from 1 species